ACAUGCAAGUCGACCGAAGCAAUUAAGAUGAAGUUUUCGGAUGGAAUCUUGAUUGACUGAGUGGCGGACGGGUGAGUAACGCGUGGAUAACCUGCCUCACACUGGGGGAUAACAGUUAGAAAUGACUGCUAAUACCGCAUAAGCGCACAGUGCCGCAUGGCAGUGUGUGAAAAACUCCGGUGGUGUGAGAUGGAUCCGCGUCUGAUUAGCCAGUUGGCGGGGUAACGGCCCACCAAAGCGACGAUCAGUAGCCGACCUGAGAGGGUGACCGGCCACAUUGGGACUGAGACACGGCCCAAACUCCUACGGGAGGCAGCAGUGGGGAAUAUUGCACAAUGGGCGAAAGCCUGAUGCAGCGACGCCGCGUGAGUGAAGAAGUAUUUCGGUAUGUAAAGCUCUAUCAGCAGGGAAGAAAAUGACGGUACCUGACUAAGAAGCCCCGGCUAACUACGUGCCAGCAGCCGCGGUAAUACGUAGGGGGCAAGCGUUAUCCGGAUUUACUGGGUGUAAAGGGAGCGUAGACGGCGAAGCAAGUCUGAAGUGAAAACCCAGGGCUCAACCCUGGGACUGCUUUGGAAACUGUUUUGCUAGAGUGUCGGAGAGGUAAGUGGAAUUCCUAGUGUAGCGG
rnacentral:rRNA from 1 species